CUGGAUUUUUCUAAAUAUUUCCUGCUGUUAAUGGCAAAACGGCUCAGAUACUUCAGAAACAAAGAACACACACUGAAACACUUUUUUUCCGUGUACUUUUCGUAAUUACAGCUGUUCCCUUCCAAUUGCAAGAGGGGAUCUAAGAGUAAAGAUUUUAAAGCUUAGAUGUUUACCCUGAGCUCCACAUGGAUUUAUUUUUACGAAAAUUACUAAGAAGUGCAAUCUGGAAAUAUGCAGAGAACUUCAAACAAGAGUCUGGAAAAAGUACGAGGUGAUGAAGGAGUUAGCACAUUUUCAGUUUGAUUCUCUUACAACCUGUGAGAGAACCCAGACAGUUGAUGGGCUCCCGGAGGAAGCUCCGGGUGGCUGCACUCCAGGGAGUUUGGCGAGGCCCCGGCCAGCACCAGAGGCCUGUGGCGAGCUGGCCUCCAGGAGAAGGUGGUGACAGCGGCAGCCGUGUUACAUGGCGCCAGAGCCCAGAGGACAAGCUCUGGCAACCGCCUGCACGGUCCCCUGUGGCCUUUUCUUCAAAAGUGAAGAUGGGGGAGUCUGGUCAACCACAGGUCUCCUUCAUACUUGGCAUUGACCAUGACGGGUGGCCAAAAAGAGAGAAGAUUUUCUUGAAUAUGAAUGCAGAUUAAAGAGGGAGAAAUUGUUAUAAAUCAUGGCACUGUCUUCCAAAGGCUGAGUGCACAUCAUAAAACUUUCCCAGUUCAUUUCAAGCCACUCUCGAGUUCAUCAAUGCUUUAUUUGUGAAAGUAAAGACUUAGCCUUACAAAACAUCUAUUCAAACACCAAUGACUCAGAAUUCUGGGACUUUCCUGCUAGUCUGGAAAUCAUGUUUACGAUACAAGUGCCUAGUUAAUAAAAGCCUGCCUUCCAUGCA
rnacentral:lncRNA from 13 species